GAGAGCUGAGGACUGAGCUGAGAGAGCUAAGCUAAGCUAAAGUUAGCACUGCAGAGUCUGUGUAAUUACCUCAGGAGAGCUGAGGACUGAGCUGAGAGAGCUAAGCUAAGCUAAAGUUAGCACUGCAGAGUCUGUGUAAUUACCUCAAGAGAACCGAACGGGAGGAGAGACGAUGUUGCCUCCGGAGAUUCAGCACUCACCUGCAUUGAGGACAACAGCUAUGGGAUUCUGUGUGAACAUCUCCAUUGCUCCUUAGACCGUGAGGACGAGAGGUUUCUUCAGACUGGUCAGAGAUUCCUGAGGAUAUUUACAUACAGAGGGAAUUCCUAUAGGACUUUAUCAGAACCAGAAGAUAUUUGUAUGGUAAUGUCUGUCUCUUGGAGCCUCCUGUCCCAACAGAACCCCAGACAGUUGAUGAUGAAGAAACCGUUUCUGCUGCCACAAAGAGGCCUACUGAGGUAAUGUUAAUAUUAUGCGAGUUACUAUGAUAACUGACUCUGAGUACAAGUUUUCUCUCUUUCAGAAAUGGGCUUGACUUAACCUGCUUUCUCGGGUUUAACAUACCUCCCUUUCUGAAACGGAAAACCCACAGUUUCCCUCAUUUCAAGGUUGACAUACUCAGAGAUUUUACAUAACCUCCUUUCUGAAACAGUAUUGAAUUGAUCCUCUUUAACAAAGCCACUAAGAUAGUCAGUGCCCAGGAACAGGGAGACUUACCAGAGUAAGGCCAAACAGAUACUGGAACAGGUGAGUGGAACUGUAUUAACAUACUGGUUUAAUUAGGCUUUUAACCUCAGUGUCUACUUUGUGCUGAUGAUCUUAAAGCUGUAAUAUUGAUUAUGCCUCUUUACUAUGAGGCAAAAUGAUCACUAACACAAUUUACACACAUUCGUUCUGCCUAUUUCAGCUCCACUUCCUGUUAAGAGUUAGCGUUACUACCUUAAAGUUUAUUACCGUCAGCAAUUUGAAGAAGAAUUACAAUUAUUAACAAGUGUCACGUCACAUUCUUUAAUCUGUUUUUACCUACUUUUAAUGUUUAUUAAAUAAUUUCCUGUUGUCUUAUGCACUUUCUCUUUAUUCUCUCCAAGUUAAUGAGAAAAAUCUCAUCUUGUGUUGGUGAGAAAGUGUAAAGAAAUGUAAACUCGCAUCACUAACACUGGAGACUCCUUCACUACAUCACACACACACACACACACCACUAACACUGGAGACUCCUUCACUACAUCAUACACACACACACACACCCACACACACACACAUGCACAUAACCAUCAUCAACCAGAACCCACAAGACAUUUUUUUGAAUUAUAUGGUGAAUCCUCCAGUUUGUUGCCAGUUAAUUAUGGGGUUCCUCAAAGAUCAGUUCUAGGAUCUUUGCUUUUCUCAAUAUACAUUCUUCCCUUAAGGAACAUCAUUAGAAUGCAUGGGAUUAGUUUCCAUUGUUAUGCUGGUAAUACACAGUUAUAUAUCUCAUCAAAAUCAGAUGAAAUAUCUAAAUUGUCUAAAUUAAGUGAGUGCUGCUAAUUGAAUGAACUUAGAAUUGAUUACAAACUGCUGCUAUGUAUGUUCAACGCUCUUAAUGGUUUAGCUCCCAUUUAUCUAACUAUGUUUUCUAAUGUCUACACACUCUAGUCAGGCACAUAAUACAUCCCAUAAUCCUGUGCUCUAGUACAUCUGAACAAAUGCACAUUAUCAUCUAGUGCUUGCUAAUAUUAUGAACAGCAGCUACACUAAUUCCUGUCCACUGCUUCUCUCUUUAUACC